rnacentral:rRNA from 1 species
UCCUACGGGAGGCAGCAGUAGGGAAUCUUCCGCAAUGGGCGAAAGCUUGACGGAGCAACGCCGCGUGAGUGAUGAAGGUCUUCGGAUCGUAAAACUCUGUUGUUAGGGAAGAACUAAUGUGUAAGUAACUAUGCACGUCUUGACGGUACCUAAUCAGAAAGCCACGGCUAACUACGUGCCAGCAGCCGCGGUAAUACGUAGGUGGCAAGCGUUAUCCGGAAUUAUUGGGCGUAAAGCGCGCGUAGGCGGUUUUUUAAGUCUGAUGUGAAAGCCCACGGCUCAACCGUGGAGGGUCAUUGGAAACUGGAAAACUUGAGUGCAGAAGAGGAAAGUGGAAUUCCAUGUGUAGCGGUGAAAUGCGCAGAGAUAUGGAGGAACACCAGUGGCGAAGGCGACUUUCUGGUCUGUAACUGACGCUGAUGUGCGAAAGCGUGGGGGUCAAACAGGAUUAGAUACCCUGGUAGUCCACGCCGUAAACGAUGAGUGCUAAGUGUUAGGGGGUUUCCGCCCCUUAGUGCUGCAGCUAACGCAUUAAGCACUCCGCCUGGGGAGUACGACCGCAAGGUUGAAACUCGAAGGAAUUGACGGGGACCCGCACAAGCGGUGGAGCAUGUGGUUUAAUUCGAAGCAACGCGAAGAACCUUACCAAAUCUUGACAUCCUCUGAUCCCUCUAGAGAUAGAGGUUUCCCCUUCGGGGGACAGAGUGACAGGUGGUGCAUGGUUGUCGUCAGCUCGUGUCGUGAGAUGUUGGGUUAAGUCCCGCAACGAGCGCAACCCUUAAGCUUAGUUGCCAUCAUUAAGUUGGGCACUCUAAGUUGACUGCCGGUGACAAACCGGAGGAAGGUGGGGAUGACGUCAAAUCAUCAUGCCCCUUAUGAUUUGGGCUACACACGUGCUACAAUGGACAAUACAAAGGGCAGCGAAACCGCGAGGUCAAGCAAAUCCCAUAAAGUUGUUCUCAGUUCGGAUUGUAGUCUGCAACUCGACUAUAUGAAGCUGGAAUCGCUAGUAAUCGUAGAUCAGCAUGCUACG